rnacentral:tRNA from 1 species
GCCCGGGUGGUGAAAUUGGUAGACACGCUAGCCUUAGGAGCUAGUGCCGAGAGGCGUGAAGGUUCAAGUCCUUUCCCGGGCACCA